rnacentral:rRNA from 1 species
AUACGUAGGGUCCAAGCAUUAUCCGGAUUGACUGGGUGUAAAGAGUUGCGUAGGUGGCAUAGUAAGUAGACAGUGAAAUCUGGUGGCUCAACCAUUCAGACUAUUGUCUAAACUGCUAAGCUCGAGAAUGUUAGGGGUAGCUGGAAUUUCUAGUGUAGGAGUGAAAUCCGUAGAUAUUAGAAAGAACACCGAUAGCGUAGGCAGGCUACUGGGACAUUUCUGACACGAAGGCACGAAAGCGUAGGGAGCAAACGGGAUUAGAUACCCCGGUAGUCUACGCCGUAAACGAUGGAUACUAGCAGUUUGGGGUAUCGACCCCCCGAGUUGCGAAGCUAACGCGUUAAGUAUCCCACCUGUGUAGUACGAUCGCAAGGCUGAAACUUAAAGGAAUUGACGGGG